AGCAGAGAGAGUGUGACAGUCCGGCUGAGGGGCAAAAACGAGUUUGUCUUGCGGAUUAUGUUUUAUUUUAAUAUCUAGUCUUGAUAAUUGUAAUCCCGUAAUCACUGGUCUCGCUGCUGUGUUGAUCUGAAAGUUUCAUCUUAUUUUGAUGGCUAAGAUUUUGCUCAUGACCUGUGAGCACUGCACGGGACACCUUCUUGAUGCAUCUCCAUAAUCUCAUCCUGCAGCUUCUCCAGUUAUCCCUUCCUGCAGUUAUCAAAACUGAGGUUACUGUGAAGCUUUAGCCCUGAUGAUUGACAAGAAAACAAUGUAAAGCGACCUGGCACCUAAAUGUGAGCUUUCCUAGAAGAGAAAGGAAAGAGGUACAUGUGGGUCCGGCUUCUCCACCCCAGUAGCUGAAUGCUGAGACCUAGCAAUAAACACAUUGCUGAACUGCUGACAAACCCUGCAAGCCUGAGAUUGCUUAAAAAAUCUUGGAAUUGCUGAGAGAGCUUUAGUGGAAGAAAUCUGCUUCUAUUUUUCCUAUCUGCCUCACUUUGAAUUUCUUAGCUGUAUUGCUUCCAUUUUAGAAACUCCUUAGAAGGGGUUGAUGGUAUUAUUUUUAAGCUUAAUCUCUUUGAAACUGGCUUUUGCUUACUUUAUCUGCACUGCUUUACCUUCGGGGCAUUGCUGCCCGUUCUCUCAAGGUGAAUACCUGCUUUUCGCUGAUACUGUUUCCUUCCGAAGAUUUUAACAAAAGCCCUGGUUUUUUUCUUACUUUUGACUUGAGGAUCCAUGCAUUAUCUCUGGCAGUGUCUACAUGUUGCUCCAUUUAGUUUGAAAGUGAAGGUACAUUACUAAGAUUUACAGAGUAUUUGAAUUCUCACAUAAAAACAAAAUACUUUUCAGAUGCAGUGUUUGGAAACAGAUCAUGCAUUCCUGUAAUGCCACUGAAGAUAAUCAAGCAGUUUGGUAGUGUGGAUGUGGGGAGUCAUCUUAAAAACAUUUUAUAUAACUCUUAACUCUCCUAGGGAGGGAAAAGAAGAAAAUUUACACAUUUUAGCCUUCAGGGGAAUUUUAUAUAUACAAAGUGUAAUUACUCAACUUGAAAUUUAUCCAGGAAGCUAGAAUUAACCACUUUCCUGUCACAAAAGAAUAUGUAAUAUAAAAUAUGUAAUAAAAAUGGUGAUAUACAACAAUUGUGAGUUUCAAUUUAAAAGUGAUAGACCAUGAUUGAAAAGCCAUUAUUUCAUGUGUGCUGUUGCUUGUUUUUCCCAAUUCCCUUCUCUAGCCAUUGUGUUGCCACUCUAUGCUCACCUCGUUCACUCUUCUGGACCCAGAGGCAACACAAGUGUUUUUUGACUGACCUGGAGGUUCUGCUGGGGAAUUUAAGGAAUCCUGUCCCUGCUCAUGGGUUCACGUGCAACAGCACCAACAUAUGCAUGCGGGCAAAUGCCCAUGAAAACUUAUUUUUAAAACAACAAUUGUUUCAAAAUACAGAAAUACCAUCUGUAAUUCAGCUGUUAAACUGUUCAGAAUUUGCAUUUCUAUUUCCGCGUAGAAAAUCCAGCACUAAUCCUGUGUUUUGACUUCAAGUGUCCGUAGAAGUAUCAGCUCUACUCAUGUGCUACCUGGAAACUCCGGUUUGCGUAAUUCGACAGGUGAACGAUACGACCCAGCAAAGACAUGGCUAUAGCCCAUUCAGAUCUCUAUAGGGAUAAAAAAGUCUGUCUCUAAUUCACCCGAAUAACCACUUCCUGCACACACAGUCGGUACUCCAAGCGCAUGGGAUGCCGCAGGUGGUGGGCAGCCCGCAGCGUUCCGAGACCGCCGAGGCGCUCGCUCCCCUGCCCGCCCGCGGGCUGCAGCCGGCGGACAUGGCCGUGCAGCACAGCCUUUUAAGGGAGAACAAUCUAUUCUGCCUUUGUCUUCCUCACUAAAUAGGGUGUUGCGGACAGAGACGCGAUCGCUAACUGGAUUUUUACUUCUCCUUGCAGUGCCUGAGGAGGAAAAUCCCCCUGCUCCCACCAUGUACUGGCGUUUCGGCUCCAGAUAAUAUUUUCUGCGCAUAAUAACUAACGCAGCCUGAGAGAACUUUGUCGGCACGGCGUGAAUUCGUCCACCUUUAAUCGGCGUUCAGGCGGAGAGCGGCUUCCCACCCCUGUGCAUGGGUUGGUGUGCCGCUCGAGAAUGGUUUGAUCUCUCCGCAGCUCAGCCAGCACUGCAUCGGAUUGCUUGGGAAGUCAGCGGGGCUGCCGGGUACCAGGAUAAAGUUCGUGGAAAGGCGUCAUUGCAAGAGGAGUGAGUACUGCACUAUGUGUUGCACGGAGGCUGCGGGGUUUGUUCAGUAACUGCGGGAUCGGUGGAGCACCGAGUAACCUUCUGACAGUGCACACAAGGAACCACAGUUGCAGCCAGUCACUUAUUCGUUUCCUGCUUGAGUGCCAUAAAACAUUUUCAGAAAUGGAAGGAGAAAAAGGGCAGAGUGCUAAAGCUACCAGUGCAGUGGGUGACCUGAGGAAAAGCUGGCAGACCUGGGCAGAGGAUCACAUUGAGUAUCAGAGGAAGAAUCCAUUCAGCAGUGAUGACAGGCUUGCAUCUAAACCUGCGCAUACUCACAGAGGAGAUCCUACCUACGGGAGACCCCCUGAAGGGUCUCGGACAGAGCAGAGAGGGAGAGAUGCUCACUCACACGUGGGUAAGGAAGUAGAAGAGCUGUGCUUGAUCAUCAGAAGAACUGGAGAGGUGGGAGAAGAUGGACACGUGAGAGUCACAUUCGGGCAGCUGUUUGAAACAUAUGUGACUAUUUCCAAUAAAGUAGUGGGAAUCUUGUUAAGAGCCAGAAAACAUGGUCUGGUUCAUUUUGAAGGUGAAAUGCUUUGGCAAGGAAAAGAUGAUGACGUAGUCAUCACUUUACUACAAUAAGGCUUUGUCCUGGAAUGAACUUUGCUGCAUAGUUCCAGUUGGAAAAACAUAUCUAGAUACCAUCUUCACAGGUUUUGGUUACAGAAUUUCAACUCAGCUACCUACUGGGACAAGCAGGAAAGGAAAUGGGCAAAAAGGAUAUUUUUGUAAAAAUGGUAGAGAUUUGGACAGAAAUUGCAGAUUAUGAGCUACUCUAUCAUGCUGACAUUGGAUUGUUCUUAUUGUCAUCUACUAGCAAAUAUAUGAGUGUUCUUCAAAUAACUAUGCUGGCCGACUGCUCUUAGGUUACUAAAAGUAUAAAUUACUAACUUGCUGUGCUACACCACUGAUUCCUGCAGUUUGUGAAAUACUGCGUGGGAGAGUGGGAUUUGUAAAACAUGGAAUUGAAAACUCUUGUGGGAAUUCAUAUACUUCUUUAAAAAAAGAGCCUGGUAUAUAGCAAAAAAUUUGGGUUCCAUCUCACAUAGUUAAACUGAAUAAAUGAAAGUUAUUUUCAUGAAGUAGAUAGAAAUUCCCAAACUUACAAAAAUAUCACAGCAAGGGUACUUGAUGGUUUCUGAAUUAGUUGCAUCUUGCUUGGAUUUUGGACAGCUGCACUGGUUUUGGUAUUUAAUAGGCUAAUCUUACAAUCAUGUCUUCUCCAAACCUUCUGUGUCUCUUGUUCUUUUUGUUUUCUAUCUCACACCAAUUUUUUCCCAUUCUUCUAAUGCUUCAUAAGUCCACAAAGCUCUGGAGCCUUUUCAGUGAAAUCAGCUAUACCACUUCAGAGAAGGUAGGGUGCCCCUAUGUGAAGAUGCAAGUCAGCAGUCGCUCUGUAUUGGGGCACCUGUGCAUUCAUAAGGAUAAAAAAAAAGGCUGUUCUUUCACCAAAAUGUAGCAAUGUUUUUUACAAGAGGAGAGUAGAGAUACUGUAGUGCCAAAUGCAUAAAUGAGAGUAUUGCAGCAGUCCCAUACCUCAUUUACCUGCUUUCAGAGCACAGUUGUGAGCUCUUCAGAAGGAAAAAGAAAAGGAUUGGUUAUAUAACAUAGUUGUGAUAGUGCUGUGAAAAAUAAUCAGGAGCUGUAUUUACAAUAGUUCCCACCAAUAAAGCUGUAUAAUUAGAAAUCUAAAGUUCUAUUUUUUAGCAGUGCAAAUAGAAGCUUCUGUGUGGUGUUAACUACACUACUUGAUGAGUCUUUAAGAGACUGUUCUUGCAUCAAAAGGAUAUUAAAAUUUAAUAUAAAUUAGGAACUUGAUAAAAGUGAUGUGUUAUUUUAUGAUAUUUAUAUAAAAGAACUUCUGUUGCAAAAAGCCUAAAAGAAUGGGGUUUGUUUUGAUGUUUUCAUCCAAUGGGGAUUUGCACCAAACUAAGUCUCUGGCUGAGGAUUUCAUUAUUUUCCUGCCUCCUUUUUUCUUUUUCUGGUGAAAGGACAAUGAAAAGAGAAAAAAAAAGGAAUAAAUUAAUGCGCUGAAAUCAGUAUAUCUGGGGAACAGGGCAGUCAGGUGCAGGUAGAGAAUGGAUUUUAAUCACCACAUAAUUUUACCACAUUGGAAAAGGGGGAAUAUGCACUGCACCAGGCACUGUUAGUGUGCUCCCUUAGCUUUCAGAGCGAACAUACUGCUUCUUUCUAAACAGAUCUACAUCUUGCAGCUGAAAAAGAAGUAGAUGUAGUUUGUGAUCUUAACAUAUUUACAGUGCUUUUUUCUUUUUGAAAAAGCAUUGUUUGCCAAAUGACAUGAGCACACUUCAUUUUUCAGCUCAUAUUAGAGGAAGUCUUUACGUCCAUCAGAUUUCAACACAAAUUGAACUUUUUAUAGUUCAGUUGUGGAAUGAGUUUUGUUUAAUUCUAACAAUUCUGAAAUCCACUCAGUUCUGCUGUAGUGUUAGUUCAUAACUUGCAGGAAGCAGCAUCAGGCAUUCCAAGUGUCACCAGCUGACUAAUGGGAUGGCACUAUCAGGAAAAAUAAUACAUUGCUGGACAUUGUACAAAUAAUUAAUUGCACGACACACAUGCGAGGUGGUAUGCAGCCUGAGCACCAUAAGAUGCAAGUCCAGCUCACAUAAAUUUACUACAUUUUAAUUAAGGCUGGCUCAAAUAGUUGAAUAUCAGCAAUCUAGGCUGUCACUGCCAUAUAAGUGGUAGAUGCUUGAGCACAUCAACAAACACUUUUUAAGGACACCUCUGAUCAAAACAGAAGCAGAGCAAACCCUUAAUGACAUGUCCUUACCUACUUUGUAAAUGACUAAACAAUGCUUCUCUAUUAUUAUAUUUUUAAAAGAACCAAGGAUUACUAUAUAACAAAACUAUUAUUUAUAGAGGGAUUUUUUUAAGCAGUUACAGAGCCAGCCUGCUAGCUUUAGAUGAGCAUUCUGGAAAACGUGACUGAAAUCUGCGUGCCCAUGCAAUGAUUAUAAACACUGAGCUGCCAAACUGGCUCAGCACACAGGUUGACAAAUCCAGUCUUGUGCUUCCAGCAAUAGCCAGCAUUUCAAAAAAAAGACUAAAAGAUAGAUAAUAGAACUAGUCAGCUUGCCCACUGGUACACUCUAGAAUAAAAAAUUACUCCUGAAGUCUAGUCAUGAAUGCAUUAUAUCUAAUGCACAUGACUCAGUUCAGCUACAAGUUUUACAAAAUUAUGCUUUAUCUGUGAUUAGACUAACAUCUACAGAUUAAAUAGGAAUUUAGACUUUUCAACACGCAACUUGUUUUUUUCAGCAGGCUCCCAUUAGAGUAAAUGGAACAGAAUUUAUUAAAUUGUUUUUGCAAAAAUUGUAGCAUGUAAGGGGUUUUAGUAUUACAGAUUAUUUGGAGUAGUAAGUAAACCCCAGACUUUUUAAAAGGUGUUCUUGCCCUACUAAGCAUCUUUCAGCUGUUUAAAUCUCUCCUAAACUUCACUUUGUGACAGAUUACAUCAGUGGUCUUUGCCCUCCUUCCACUUCAAGUCUGUAAACUCUGCAUCUGGUUUGGACUGUAUAUCAUAGAGGGAUUAUCUGUGUUUUGUCAAACACUGAAGGCAUGUCACCAUUUCAAUAAAUGUUGCACAUUAGUUUGAAAUGACAAGAGUUUUUAUGCAGCAUUUUAUUGUGUACAAGUUUCUUAAAUUUCAAAUACAAUUUUCACGGGUUUGCUCUCAUUACCAAUUCAAGCACAAUUUCUUUUUAUUUUUAACAGCAUUUUAUGUGUAUGUUUCAUCCUUUCAGCAUAAAAGCAUUAUUCUCUGAGUUCUUGUUAGGUUGGGAGUUUAUGUAAAACAAUUGAGCAAAACAGUACAAAUAAAGCUUUGUCAUUCCUAAACAUGAGGUCAAAAAAGCAGCUUUUCUCAAGACGGCUAAUACUGGAUCAAAGAACAGAGCCAGCAGCAGUAGCUAAACAGCUUUCCUUUGCUUCUCCAGGCCCUUGGAGAGUAAGAGCUGCUGAGUUCAUGCUCCUUAUUGAUCUUUGCUCCUUAGAAAGCUCUACAGAUGGUUUUGGAAGUUUUAAAAUUACUAAAAGCUUCUAUAGAAGAGAGUGACAAAGUUAACAGGAUCUGCCCACUGUCUCUUCCAGGGGCUAGCCAGUAAUUCAGUACUAUAUUGGAAGUAUUAGGUUAGGUUUUUCAGAAAGUAUUUCUUCACCUAAUUAAAACAAUUAUCUUCAGAGUCCAAGAAUACUUGUCAAUGCAGAAGGACAACAGACCACAGUUCUGAGCUGAAAAACACUAAUGAGAGGCUGAGCAUUCCUCUCAGUAAUUAGUGUGCCUCUGUUUAAUGCUUUGCUGCUUCAGCUGUUCUGAGCCCUAUCUGUUGCUGUCAGGGAACAUGGGAUAUCCCCAUCUUUCUCAUCAGCAAAACUCUGGAAGUGACAUUAUACCAAAUUUUUACCUUUUCAGUCUUGUCCUUAGUGGGGCUGUUCUCCAACACUAAGACAUAAACGUUGGCCUUUGUGCUUUCAUAUACAUUUGGCAACAUACAGAGUCUGGCUGGGAUGGAGGUAACUUCCUUCAGAGCCUCCCAGGUUUUGGGUGUGACUGGAAGUGCUGGUAACACAGCAGUUCUGGUGAUUGCUGAGCAGUGCAUGGACAAUGUCAGGGCCUUCUUUCUCCUGCUCUGCCCUCCCUCAGUGGGCAACAAGCUUCGAAAGAACACAACCUGCACACCUGACACAGACUGGCCAGCAGGGAUAUUCCAUGACAUAUAAUGUCUGGAAUAAAAGCUGAAAAGCGGACUUUUUUUGGGUUGUGGGAGUUGUUGCUAUUGGCCGGCCUGUGGGAGGUCAUGAGUGAUUACCUUUGCUUUUUUCUUUAUCUUUCCUUCACAUAUUAAACUCAACCCAUGAGUUUUUUCAUUUUGUUCUUUCUGUUCUCCCACCCCACUGGGUUAAGUAAUGAAGAGUGAGCAAAGAGCUAUCUAGGAUCAACCCUGAGUCAUCAACUAUUCAACUGCACUGGAAAAUCAUCCCAAGAUAAGCAUUUAUUAAUCCUUUUUGACAACAGUUCAUGUUGAUAUUUAAAAUAUUACAUGUCACAUAAAUUAAUUACAGAUCAGAACACAUACACUUUAACUCCUGAAAGUUCUUAAUGUACAGGUAUUUCACUAAUUCAGGAGCCAGCUCAAAUCUCUUCAUCUAUUGCACAGUCAAAGUUUGGUGGCUUUAAGUCACACUUUUCCUACCAAACGUAACAAAUUAAAACCCCAAAGGGCUGCAAAUAAAACGCAAGUGCCCACUAAUACAUAUAACAAGACAUUAGGAAGAAGAUCUUACAGACAGAAAGGUACAAACUCUGCCAGGUAGAAAAUGCAGUUCUUCAGAAGGGGGUAUAUUCUCAGAAGUACUGUAAGAAUAUUACAACACAUUGUAUCACUAAGGCAACAGGUGCUGGAUCCAUGGAAAACACAGACUGUUAUGUUCAGGGAAGCUUGCAGGUGCAACAAAUGUUCUCACCUCAGCUGCAUCUGAAUGCAUCAGGCAAGGGCACUUGGUUAGCUCGGCACCAAGACAAGCUCUGUGAACAGAGAAAAUCCACUCCAUGUGUUCUGGAGUUUUAACUUGCCAAACAGUCUGCCUUAUUAUGGUACUGAAAAACAAGUGCUAGCAUUCCUGAUUAGAGUCAUGCAGCAAAGGCAAAUGUUCAACAGGUUCCUUAAGCAACUUGGCAUGUUCCAGUUUUGGGCUGAGUCCCUCCUAUCCCAAAGUCAAAUCACAUUGCUGUUAUGUAAGUCUGCCACACGCGCGCACACACACACACACACACACACACACACACACACACACACACACAGAG